rnacentral:lncRNA from 1 species
CAACAUGUCAAAAAAUCUCCUAGAUUCGGGGUUUGGUUCUUCUCCUCUAUAAUGAUCAUGUACCAUCUGCUCAGUACCUACACCAUAAUCUAUAUCCAUUCUAGAUUCUUCUAACCUAAUAUCAGGCUGAGGUUCACUAACAUGCUGAGGUUCGCUAGUACUACCAUAUUCAUAACCAGUUUCCCCAUGAAGGUACCAAACUUUAUAAUUACGUGAAAACCCUUUCAUAUACAAAUGAGUCCAAACAUCAAAUUCUUUUAUAACCUUAUUA